GACGAACGCUGGCGGCGUGCCUAAUACAUGCAAGUCGAGCGAAUUUGAUGGAGUGCUUGCACUCCUGAUGGUUAGCGGCGGACGGGUGAGUAACACGUAGGUAACCUGCCUGUAAGACUGGGAUAACCCACGGAAACGUGAGCUAAUACCGGAUAGGCGAGACUCCCGCAUGGGAGAUUCGAGAAAGGCGGAGCAAUCUGCCACUUACAGAUGGACCUGCGGCGCAUUAGCUAGUUGGUGAGGUAACGGCUCACCAAGGCGACGAUGCGUAGCCGACCUGAGAGGGUGAUCGGCCACACUGGGACUGAGACACGGCCCAGACUCCUACGGGAGGCAGCAGUAGGGAAUCUUCCGCAAUGGACGAAAGUCUGACGGAGCAACGCCGCGUGAGUGAUGAAGGCCUUCGGGUCGUAAAGCUCUGUUGCCAGGGAAGAAUGUCUUGGAGAGUAACUGCUUCAAGGAUGACGGUACCUGAGAAGAAAGCCCCGGCUAACUACGUGCCAGCCGCCGCCGUAACAC
rnacentral:rRNA from 1 species